GACAACAUACACCCAUUUAAUGGAACGCACCUGUUGAUAAUCACGGCGUAGGCCGUUCAACUUAAUUGUUAAGGUGAAAUGGGAAUGAAGUAGCAUGACUGUUUCUAGCUCAUUUGGCGCGAUACGAUUAAAUAGGCUGUGCAAUUCCCACAACUUCUAGGCUUAAGUCGCAUAAUGCACCUGCUUCAUGUCCUUAUUUAUCUUACAUGUUAAAACUUCUUCUAUUUGGUUAGGAUUUAUUUAUUUCUAGCCUAGCAUGUUUGAAAAAGCGGGCUAUUCACAGGAAGAACUUCACGGUUCUGGAAGGUUAUCGUGGUGAGAAAUGACUUGACUAAUAAAGUAGGCUAGACCACCAACAACCUAUGAAGAACCAAAGGCUACCAUACUAUACAACUACUAACUAUACAACAUCGCUCUGAGAAUAGUUUACUUUCACGUGCGACAUCAAGGGGUUAUCUGUCAGACUGCUGGUUGUAUGGAGAAAGACACCAGAGGAGGAGGGUGAGCAGCUUUUAGCCUCAGGAGAAAUCAUGGACCUGUCAUCACCUCCGCCAGUUCACCACCCUACUGAAAAGGACCCACAUGCCUUAAAAUAUAUGACUCAUGGUUACAUGAUCAUU
rnacentral:lncRNA from 1 species